rnacentral:lncRNA from 1 species
AGACCUGAGCAGUUGCUCCGGCGGCGCUCGGGGAGGGAGCCAGCAGCCUAGGGCCUAGGCCCGGGCCACCAUGGCGCUGCCUCCAGGCCCAGCCGCCCUCCGGCACACACUGCUGCUCCUGCCAGCCCUUCUGAGCUCAGCACAGUACCAACCGUGCCUGAGCCCUUCCCAGAGGCCUCCUGCUGUGUUCCAGGUUGGGGGGAGUUGGAGCCACAAAUAGAUGGUCAGACCUGGGCUGAGCGGGCACUUCGGGAGAAUGAACGCCACGCCUUCACCUGCCGGGUGGCAGGGGGGCCUGGCACCCCCAGAUUGGCCUGGUAUCUGGAUGGACAGCUGCAGGAGGCCAGCACCUCAAGACUGCUGAGCGUGGGAGGGGAGGCCUUCUCUGGAGGCACCAGCACCUUCACUGUCACUGCCCAUCGGGCCCAGCAUGAGCUCAACUGCUCUCUGCAGGACCCCAGAAGUGGCCGAUCAGCCAACGCCUCUGUCAUCCUUAAUGUGCAAUUCAAGCCAGAGAUUGCCCAAGUCGGCGCCAAGUACCAGGAAGCUCAGGGCCCAGGCCUCCUGGUUGUCCUGUUUGCCCUGGUGCGUGCCAA